UACGUAGGGUGCGAGCGUUGUCCGGAAUUAUUGGGCGUAAAGGGCUCGUAGGCGGUUUGUCGCGUCGGGAGUGAAAACCAGGUGCUUAACACCUGGCUUGCUUUCGAUACGGGCAGACUAGAGGUAUUCAGGGGAGAACGGAAUUCCUGGUGUAGCGGUGAAAUGCGCAGAUAUCAGGAGGAACACCGGUGGCGAAGGCGGUUCUCUAGGAAUGACCUGACGCUGAGGAGCGAAAGUGUGGGGAGCGAACAGG
rnacentral:rRNA from 1 species